GUGCUGGAUCAUGAAGCAUCGUUAAAACAAAAUUUGAACGUCUCAAGAGAGUUUGAAGACUCCAGAAUGGCGAAUUAUAGCGUAAUAACAAAACGAUAAUGGAGCAGAGUUAGUACAAUAAAUAACGGCCACCCCUCACUUUUACAACACUGGCUGCUUUCAUUUUCAUCAAUGGGUCGAGUACUCGCCGAUUCCGAAAAGGACUUGGACCUACUUCUUGCCCGAUGCGAGAUACGAUGUAUGGAUAGGCAAACUUUCUAGGAAACAAAUAUUCCGGAACGAAAUGGGAGGAACCGUAGGUUUAACAAUACCUACGGAGAGAAUGGUAAUUUGAAUAGGAAUCUACCAGAAAGAUGUAUGCACCACUUCACAGUUGAAUCGAAUAUAAAACAGUUAAGACGAUACACUUAACUCGUAAAUUCAGAAGAUCUAUCAAAAUCGAAGGAGAAGGAAAAAAUUUUAAACGCGUAUUCUUGGAUUUUCGACUUUUUUUUAAACUACAUAAAAAUAGUUUGUCAAUUUCAACUUUUCCACAUCUUUAUGUUUGUAAAGAAAGCCACAACGAACAUUCCAUUUAUUUUAAGAUUUUAGUUUGGUAUGGUGCUGGUCAUUGCAAAGAAGCUUCCUUGACUUUGGCCAAUGUAAUGCAGCUUGUUACGCUCUGCGUAUCAAUCAUGACUGGUGAAUCCAAAAUUCCCAUUUUGUUUGGGAAUAUUUGUUUCCUCUAAAAUUUUCCCAUCCACACGUCGUAUCCCGCAUCGGGCAAGGAGUGAACCUAAACUUUUUUUGGGCUCAGGGAGCAUCUAAUCUAUCGAUAAAGAUGGAAGCCCGUGUUUAAAGAAUGUUGGGUAGCUGUAACUAUUAUCGACGUUUUUUAUUGUAUACUUAAUUCAUGUUAAUCGUAAAAAAAGAUCGAACAAAUGCUAUAAUUAUUUUCAUCGAAUCGCCAUUCAUUGUAAAUACGAGACUAAGAUAAAAUACACACUCCA